GCGGGAUGUGAGCCACCAGCAAGGAGGAAUGCCAAUAAGGCAUCCGCUAAGCUCCUUUUCACACUUCCACAUCUUAGAGAGUGAAAAGAAGUGACGGUUGGUUCAGAGCCAUUCAAGAGGAUCCGAUGCACAGUGCCCAUCCUGUCACUGAGAAGCAUGCAGAACUGACCAAAUUUUCCCUUCAG
rnacentral:lncRNA from 1 species